ensembl:lncRNA TRHDE-AS1 TRHDE antisense RNA 1
AAGGACGGGAGCGGUGGGAAGAGCGAGGGUGUAGAGAGGGAAGUUAGGGCUUUCGCUUUCUCCCCCCACUCCAGCGGCGGCGUUCGGUCCUCUGGGUGGAAUGUGCUCGCAGCAGCAGUGACGGCGGCCACAGCACGGGAGGCACCCGAGCCAUACACCCUGCAGCUGGAGAGAAAAGGAUGGCCGAGGUGGGAGAGACUAGAGUGAACCAGCAGGAGGAAGUCCCAGGGCCGCGAAGCUACGACGGAGAUCCGUCCUGGAAAAGCCUUCUCCACCCUGGGCACUUUAAGCGGCGGUGGCGGCAAACGGCAGGAGGUUGCAGACCCGACAGCGAGACUCCCUCAUUCCAGUCUUGCUCUGCCCUCCGGAGAUGACAAGUGAGAAAGAAGUGUCCGGCCGGGCCAUCCCCUUCAGAGAAGCAACCACUUCACAAGAAGAUUCUGAAGUUGGCCAUUUUUGAUCCCAGAACAGUUUCUCAUAGAUUAGAAAUAUUGGAGUCUACACAAAAAUCGAUAUUCAUUUACAAGAUCAUCACUAAACUUAUCUUGCAUAACCCUUUGCCUGCUACUGCCAACCUGAGAGGGGAGCUUCUGCUCUGCAGAUGGAUGGACAGCUGCUGAUCUUCACCUCCUGUCUGUUCCCACAAUUCUAAAAGAAUUAGGCCUGAGGAACUUAAUCUUCUGGUGUUCCAUUGUGAACUGACUUUAUUAAAUUUUUUCCAAAGUUCAGUGUUCUUCAGUUCUUUCUCAGAGUACAAAUUGAAGAGACACAGAGCCAGUUCCAAAUGAACUGAAAUUGUUUUGUAAAAAAUUAAUUCAAACAAUAAUGCCAUGGAAAAGCACUUUGAAUUUUUCAAUUCCCAGGCUAUUGAUUCUAAAAAAGAAACAAUUCUAAAUUAUCCACAUGUUCUCAUUUAUUAGUCUAGAGCUCUUGCCCAAAGAAUUAUUUGCCAAGGUAAUAUAUAGAACAUCAGGAUGAUUUACUUGCUUUUCUAAUACCAUUUUGCCCACAAACUCUAUGGAACUGAAAGCAUGUCAGCAGCAAAAGAAGGUCCACUAGCAGCUAUAAAAGAGAGCUUACUAAUGAACAAUAAAUAUCUAAAAGUAAAGGGAAAGGAGCCAAAUUCCAUUUUCAAAAGCCAAAAUUCUGCAGUAGGUAAAUAUCACAGAUAGCAUUGCUUAUUAUUUAUAAUCACUACUAAGAGUAAUCUAUCAUUUCUUUAAAUCCUCAAAAUAGGUCUCUGCCAGCCACAUUAACUGCCUGCAGAAAAGUUUGUUAUGACUGCCUGGUUUUGUAAAGUCCAGACAACUUUACACUAAGCUGAAUAAUGUUCAUUUACUCAAAAGCUAGUCUAAAAUUGUAGAGUUAAUGAACACUAAACCAAAGUUAGUGCUUUAACUGAAAGAUAAUUUACUGUACCCUUUGGAGUCCAGUCCGGUACCAUCAAGAUCUGGGAAAAUACAACUGGUAAGCACUUUAACUUUUUCUCAGAAAAUCAUUAUCUACUUCCUUCAUACUUACUUAACAUCUCAAGAAAAGGAAAGAAAGGGGGAAAAUAUCUAAAAUUUUAAUCUAAAUCUUUCUUAAACUGUGCAUUUCAAAUACAUAAAAUACUGUGUGAAAGGGUGUUAAAAGUAGUAUCUAGAAAUGGCUUCCAACUCUAUAACUUGGUGUAAGCCUUGUGGAAAGUAAUUUACCAACGACUGUCAAAAUUCACAAAUCUAAAGACUGUAGCAAGACUCUUGAGAUACCUUGUAACUAUUGGCAUGAUUCCUUUCUACUACAAUGAAAGUUUCUUCAGGGCAGGAAACACAUAUAUUCAUUUCUGUAUCCACAGAGUAAGCAAAGAUUCUGGGACAUACUGUCCUUCAUACGCGUAUUUCGAAUGAACGAAGGCUCCAUUUGGUAGUAUUUAUCAUCAGCUUCUUGGCCCUUACUACUCCCUUCUUUCAUUUAAAGCUUAUGUCUUAUGUCCUCUUCCCUGCCCAGCACUCUUUUUGGCUGUAUGCCUGAUAAGGGUGCUCUUCAGCUUGGCCUCCUUUGACUCUAUUCCUUCCCUGUUCUACUUUUAGAGUCUCAAUAAACUCUUGUUUCUUAUAGUGGAAAAAUGCAUUUAUAAAUCAAGACUGGGCAUUAAAUUUGCUCACUGCUGCUCAGGCAUUGUUGCUCCCGUGUCCAGUUGCUCCCAGUGAGCCACUCUAUUGGAGUUGGUCCCACAGUCAAGACCCUACUUUUCCCUAGCUCUAGCCUAGAAACUUGUCACCAGAGCAUUAAUCUACAUUUUAGAGAGGAUUACCUACCAAAAAAAAGUAUCAUUUUUCCUGAAUAAGUAAUAUGUUCUAGAAUCAGUGUGUGAUCCUCUCAGCUUCCUUUUUGGAAACCAAAUGAUGGUUCUCCUGGAGAAAGAAUUUGAGUAGAUGUUGAAACAAUUUAGGCUAUACAAUAGAGUCCUACUUGAUAGAAGAGUUAGAUUUUGAAAUCAGCAUAUAAGGUAAGAAGCACCUAAUGUCAAAUUUGCACUUGAAAAAAAUUCCUAAACUGUGCACACAUUGCAGUAAACCAUGAUUUUGUGGAUCCCUUCCUAUACAGCAACGUGCAUAUAUAGAUGUGCAUAGAAAGUAUGUGCCAUCUUACAAUAUUUUCAGUAUUUUAAUUAAGUUGAAUUUAAAUAAAUAAAAUACUCACAUGCUAUAACUCUGCUGUUUUAAGAACACUGUUACCAAUUCACUACAUUUACAUGAUGCCUAAAUAGCCAGCCAAUGCAGAAAGGUCAGUUAGAAAAUGAGGCCAGUGCUUGCCUCUCUUUCUUUCCAUUGAAAGGGUGUUACUGAGUGUCAGGGUCCACACAAAGCGGGAGCUAGAGUGGGCAUGAAGGCAGUUUGAUGGGAGUCAGGGUCUAUAGAGGGAGGGCUGCUGAGCAGGGCAGAGGCCUGGUAGAAUCAGAUGCUUGGCUCCACACAGGGAGUCCACUUUCCUAAUGCUGGAGAAGGUACAAACAUGGAAAGAGGAAAAGUUGAGAUGAAUGAUGUGUUAUUAGAUUGGAAUUGGAAGAGUGGAUAUAUAAAUAUAUAUGACAUGUAAAUAAACA